rnacentral:rRNA from 1 species
AUUGAACGCUGGCGGCAGGCCUAACACAUGCAAGUCGAGCGGAUGAAGGGAGCUUGCUCCUGGAUUCAGCGGCGGACGGGUGAGUAAUGCCUAGGAAUCUGCCUGGUAGUGGGGGAUAACGUCCGGAAACGGGCGCUAAUACCGCAUACGUCCUGAGGGAGAAAGUGGGGGAUCUUCGGACCUCACGCUAUCAGAUGAGCCUAGGUCGGAUUAGCUAGUUGGUGGGGUAAAGGCCUACCAAGGCGACGAUCCGUAACUGGUCUGAGAGGAUGAUCAGUCACACUGGAACUGAGACACGAUCCAGACUCCUACGGGAGGAAGCAGUCGGGAAUAUUGGACAGUAGGCGAAAGCCUGAUCCAGCCAUGCCGCGUGUGUGAAGAAGGUCUUCGGAUUGUAAAGCACUAUAAGUUGGGAGGAAAGGCAGUAAGUUAAUACCUUGCUGUUUUGACGUUACCAACAGAAUAAGCACCGGCUAACUUCGUG